rnacentral:pre_miRNA from 1 species
GGAAAUCUAAAAACUACUACUGUUAGCUCAAAAAAAUAGACGUUUGAGAUUUAUCCAUGUCAUUAUGAGUAAAAAUUUUACUCGUAAAUUUACUCAUGAGUAAAAUUUUUAUUAGGAGUUAAACUUUUACUCAUGGUGACAUGUACGAAUAUCAGAUAUCCAUUUUUCGAUCCAAUAUCAGUUUCUAGGUUUCU